AUACGUAGGUGACAAGCGUUAUCCGGAUUUACUGGGCGUAAAGGGCGUGUAGGCGGUCUUGCAAGUCAGAAGUGAAAUUCAUGAGCUCAACUCGGGCGCUGCUUCUGAAACUGCAGGACUUGAGUGCUGGAGGGGAUAGCGGAAUUCCUAGUGGAGCGGUAAAAUGCGCAGAUAUUAGGAAGAACACCGGUGGCGAAGGCGGCUAUCUGGACAGUAACUGACGCUGAGGCGCGACAGUGUGGGGAGCAAACAGGAUUAGAUACCCUGGUAGUCCACACUGUAAACGAUGAAUGCUAGGUGUGGGAGGUAUCGACCCCUUCUGUGCCGCAGUAAACACAGUAAGCAUUCCGCCUGGGGAGUACGGUCGCAAGAUUAAAACUCAAAUGAAUUGACGGGG
rnacentral:rRNA from 1 species